rnacentral:lncRNA from 1 species
UCACAUCUAAACAACCUUAUCAAGCCCACAAGGAAUUGGCUAAAUGGAAUAAAGUAUCGCUAACAAGUUUUAAUCAUCUUCCUCUCACUCUGACAUCAACCCACACCAUCUAAAUGGGGCCUAUCAUGACUGAUCACCGAGACACACCAGUGCUGCUGGAGCAAAAUAAUCACUGUACUAAAUGCAUCAAAUUGAACAAACAUAUUAAAAAGCAGAAAGCAGACACUAGUAAUCACUAUAUACGCAAAGCGGCAAAAUUUAACAAAAAUCGAAACGUAUUGGGAACUGAACUAAUAAUCGUGAUCACAUGAAUUGUUUAGGAUUAAGUUUUGCAACGUUCUCAUUUUAGAUGGUCUGAAACAACUCUCGGUCGUGAAAAUACCAACCAUUUGCACAUUUUAUAUGAUUUAAGUAUCAAGGUUCUCGUUUUAUUAAUUUCUGCAUGAAUUCAUCGUAAAAUAAUACUAGAACCUCAUCCAAAAUGGCCAGCCGCAAAGUAUUAUUUGGAUUUUUUUUGAUCUUAUCCAAAAUCUAUCCAGCGAAUAACUGAUAUAAGACUAACCAGUGAAAAGCUAAUCGAUGCUGACCAUGGGUCGAUCAUGGUGCUUGUAAUUAGAUUUAAAUAAAUUUGAACUUCUAGCCUGACGCCUUGUAUAGUCAUAUGUUUAGUCCUACAUCAUUCGCUAGAUAGAUCUUAGGUGCCUAUUCAGGAUCAUCAUCCGCUAGAUAGAUCUUAGGUGCCUAUUCAGGAUCAAAAAAUUUAAAUGAUAGGUCCUGGGUUAAGUUGGGUUGGGGGAGAAGCGCACCCCCAUCAAGUCAUCCACCUUCCGAUCCAUUGACCACCCCGGCGAACUCCCCCGUGCUCGCAUCCUUGUCGACGCUGCCACGUCCACCUUGAACGCCGGAUCCUCGCCAGUGCCAUCACCCUGUCUUCGUUCAGCAGCCGCCGCUCUAGGAGCACCAGCACUGAACACUCCGCCACCGCCGCCCGCUCCGCCUUGAGGCCGAGGAUGCCGUGGAGGAAGCGAGGGAAGUCGACGGUGGAGAGGCCGCAGGGAGCGUCCAGAGGAGGCUGCCGUGGUACCUGCCCCACCGGCACCGGGAGCGGAGGUGGCUGGCUGUAAGGAAGAGUGGAUGCAUGAGAUUGUUGCUGACGUCGUGGAAGAAGUUGAUGUUGAAGGUGCCGGUGGAGAAGAGGACGGCGGGGAAGAGGUGGGUGACCAUCUAGUCUUGGGAGGCAAGAGCGGGGUGGGAAUGGUGGAGGCAGAUGGGGCACUGAAG